AGUAUAAUCAGUCCAUUUAAAAAAAUAAUAUAGAAUAAACCUCUUUCUCUCUCUCUCGACUAUUCCUAUUCCAUAGCAAGAAAACCCUAAUUUCCUUUUCCAUCUAUCUCUCUCGCCUCCCCUGUCUAAUGAGUUGAACGAAACGGGGUGGGAGCUUGGGGACGACGGCGCCGUGGAUGUCGAGCUUAGGUCGUGGACGACAGGGAGGAGAAGUUUAGGCCAUGGAUGUGACGGCGAGUUGGGGAUUUGGGCAGGUUUGACCGGGAGUUGCGCGAGGAUAUUGGUCCUCUCUUUAUCUCUUGAUCCUCAUUUCUUUCUCUCUUUAAUUAUAACCAUUAAAAUGCCUUGGCCAAGUGUUCAAUUCCAAGUUCCAUCGCAAAUUCCCCAUUUUGGAUCCUCAUUCAUAUUGUGAUCCCAGAACGACCAACUGAGUGCGAAGUGUUCAAUGUUGUAACAGGAACAUCAUAUUUGAUCCACAGACAUUUUAAUAACAAGGUAGAUUAAAAUGUCUGUCAUUUGUUGCUUUGAAUUGAGAGCAGUUGAUUAUUUAUACAAUGUUGAGCUCAUUCAUUUUCUCUGUUUUUGGUGGGUUUGGUCCAUGGUAACUCAUCGAGCCAAAAAAGGGAAAUGUUUGAAAUCUGCUUCAUCAACUUUUCUGCACAUUAUUUUAUCUUAAAGUAUUAUUACAUCAUGAAGAAAAUAAAAAAGGUCCCUAAUAAUGAAAAAGAAGACAUUGGUUUAUGGCAAAGAAGCUCAUGUGAAUAAGCUUACAAGUUCAAGAUCUGUUUUGUUUGAAAAUAUCAGAUUGCAAUUCUUGAAUGUUAUACCUAUUAUGAUUUACUCAAGAUUUUUAUUUUAUCUCUUGUAUAGAUUUGAUAUAAUUUGUAAAAAAAUCGACAAUUUUAUAGUACAUUAAGUUUUGUUCUUGUUUAAU